GCCGGUAUAGCUCAGCUGGCAGAGCACCUGAUUUGUAAUCAGGGGGUCCCGGGUUCGAUCCCUGGUGCCGGCACCA
rnacentral:tRNA from 1 species